CUCUGACGUCAUAGCAGCACCACUCUCAGCCUCUCUCUCUCUUUUUCCCCCCUCCCCUCGGGUGGAAGGAGCAGCCCUGAGAAGGCGGCGCUCUCGCCCUGCCUCUCCUCCCUCCUCUCUGCUUUUUCUCUCUCCGUCAGGAUCGCCUUGGACGAUGCCCUCGCUGCCAGCCAUCGCCCAUUAGAGACCCCCAAGCCCGGGGGAGCAGGAGGGGACCCCUCGCAAGCCCCCCAGGAGAAGCCCCAAGGAAAGAAAGGGGGAAAGGAGAAAGACAGGAAGAAAGAAAGAAAGAAAGAAAGGGAAGGUUAUUUGAUUUUGUCCCCUCCCUUGGCUUGGUCCCUUGCUCUUCUUCUUGGCCUCGAUUUGGCUCACCUUUUGGGGAGCUCGGCCCUGCCCUUUUUGUAUUAUUUGUUAUCGUUUUUCUACAAGGGGGGAUUCACCCUUUUUGUGAGCGUGCCCACCAUGGGAUGUACCCUCAGCGCGGAGGAGAGAGCCGCCUUGGAAAGGAGCAAAGCGAUCGAGAAGAACCUCAAGGAAGAUGGCAUCACCGCCGCCAAGGACGUCAAGCUCCUCUUGCUGGGAGCUGGUGAAUCGGGGAAAAGCACCAUUGUCAAGCAAAUGAAGUAAGUCCCUCUUUGCACCAAUCUUGGGAGAUGCAGUGAUUUGUAUUUUCUGUGCAAAAAUAGCCUGGUUGCAGGCGGUUUAACCUUACAGAUUGAUAUAUAUAUACAAACAUAAACACGCAUAUAUUUUUAUGUAUAUUUAAGAUUGGGUGGAUUUGAUGGCAGGCCUUGGCUCCUUUUCUCCUCCGUGAUGGGAAAAAGCAAGGAAGGCUUUGAGUUGCAUGAAUGAGCGUCCGCCAUGUUUGGAGUGGAUUUGUAUUGGAAAGGAGGGAGGCGGGGGGGGGGGGGAUCUUGUUGUUUUUCCUGCUGGAGAUGAGAUUGCAAAGGCUGGGCUUGCAAGGCGGAGAGAGAGAGACAAGAAAGAGGAAGGACCACUAGGUCGCCCAGCCUUGAAAAAAUCCUGCUUCUGUGCAUUUGCCGUGCACUGAUGCUCUCAUGCGCCAGGUAUCUGCUGUUCGGGGCUUUGGUGCUGAAGUAGGUCUCCUUCGCUUGCCUUCCUCCUGGGAAAAAGAAGGGCGGAGGAUGAGGAAGAAAGGAAGGAAUGAAUCAAGGAAAGAAAGGGUGGGAACUGGAGGCCAGAGAAGGAUGGCUCACUUUACCUGGAUUAUCCCGAAAAAGGUCCUUCCUGCAAAUCCAAUCGCAUUUUAUUUGCACCAAGUCAGUGGCUGUUUGCAAUGAUAACUCACCCAACUACAUACCAGCCAAGUUUUCUAGUAUUAAUGCUAUUAUUAUUAUUAUUAUUAUUGACACAACGACGUUGUAUGACACAGCAAACAAGAUAGAUAUGCUGGAUUUCGUAUCACAAAAUCACAAGUCGAACACUUCCCAAGUGUCUAGGACUGUGUGAUGUAUUUUCGGAUGAUGCGCCCAGAUCCCAGUAAGGUGGCCUUUUGCAGUUGGCAGAUCGUGAUUUUGUCAAUGUCUAUUGUUUCCAAAUGCCGGCUGAGAUCUUUUGGCACGGCACCCAGUGUGCCCAUCACCACCGGGACCACCUGCACUGGUUUCUGCCAGAGUCUUUGCAGUUCAAUCUUGAGGUCCUGAUAGCGGAUGAGUUUUUCCUGUUGUUUUUCAUCAAUGCGACUGUCACCUGGGAUGGCAACAUCAAUGAUCCAAACCUUGUUCUUUUCCAC
rnacentral:lncRNA from 11 species